GUCUCGAGGCGGGUUCUUGCCGCCUUUGCAGCUCAGACUCGUCAGUUUUAAGGGCGGAGUCACUCGGAAACUUUGAAGCCAGAUGUCACAGCAAGUUAAAAGUUUAUCUUGGAGUCUGCUCUUGACUUAGUGAUGCCUGGCACAUGGUAGGCAAUAUAUUAAUAAUUAUUGAAUUUUUUUUAGCCAGAUGUCACAGCAAGUUAAAAGUUUAUCUUGGAGUCUGCUCUUGACUUAGUGAUGCCUGGCACAUGGAUAAGGAAAAGUUCUGAGAAGACUGGUAUGGUGAAUGUCAUAAGAAAGAACUUCAAUGAAGAUGCUAAAUACAAGUAUAACAAGACUUUCUCAUGGAUCAAGCAAUUAAAGAGCA